rnacentral:lncRNA from 10 species
CCCUGACCCUGCUCUUCCUCUCUCAGCCCCUGAAGGCCCCCAUUAGCUGCCCACCUCCUGCUUGAAACACGCCGCAGAACAUCUGGAAGCCCUAGGAGGCCGUUUCUUUGACAACCUUCGAUUUAAAAGCUCAUGGAAAUUCUUGCUCCAACUGCUGUGACGUGAGCAGCCCAGGUACACAGUCCUCUGGAGGCCAGAAGGGGCUGCCAACAUCUGCUUCCCAUUACCCGGGGGAGGGACUUCACCACCAGCCGCUGGUAACAGGAGACCCUGGCCUCUGAUUUAUGGCCCAUUUGGAAGGAGGCCUCGGAGCAAUUACUUGUUGGAUUGAGCCAGGCGAGGGGCUAGAGCUUUGCAAAGCGGAAAGCAGCCCCUGGCUGGCAGCGCUUUCUCCCCAGGAAGACAGGGACUAUCCACUCAGGAUCCAACAUAUCAGAGGAGGACUCCAGGAAGUCAUUCUACCACCUCUGCCUCCCUGCUGACGAAUCCGAUAUUUGGUUGAACAUUCCUACUUCAAAAUUCCAAAAUCUGAAGCAGUCCAAAAUCUGAAACUUUUGGGGCACUGACAUGAAGCCACAAAUAGAAAAUUCCACAUGUCUGGCAGUGUGUCUCACAGCUACCAGAAGCUUGAAGUGGUGCUGAACAUGCAUAAUGUGCUGAGACGUCUGCAGCAACUGUCCUUCCAUAGACUCCUUGGAUUUCGUGGUCCCAGGCUGAGAAAGCUUGGGGUAGAGAAAUAGGGCUGAGGGCAAAUCGCUGGCUGCAGCCGUGCUGUGGAAGCAAUGUGCCAGAAACCCUGACAAUGAACCGCUGUCUCUGACUAAUUGUUCUAGUGGAGAUGUCUCCUGUUUGACUUGAUUUUAAACUGUGGAGCACGUCAAGAGAAAGCUCACUGAUCUGCCGAGGGUUUGUGCUUUUCUGUCUUCAUGCAUCUGUUGUGGGUGAAGAGAGCAAAGAUUCUUCAUUCAAUCAAAGGCCCCCUUUGGAGAUGCUGAGAAGGAAAUUUCCUUUGGAAAUUCCCAAAGGUAGGUUCUUUGGGGAAGUGAGAACUCUGCUGCUUCAACCUUAGCCCAGCCUGCCCUCCUGGUGGGAAAGACCAGCCGUGUCUUGGCUUCCAAAGAACCAGGAGACAGAAGGAAUUUAUGGCUGGAAGCCCAGCAUGGUCGUGUCCCCUGGGCCCAGUUGCUUCCCCUCUGUGGUUUCCAUAUCUAUGUGUUAAGAGAAAGCAUCUGAAACUUUGAAAUAAGGAAGAAGAUGACUGCGUGUCCUUUGAAUGCCACAUUAAAGCACUGUCAGACAGGCCCUGCCCAAUGGCAAUUUAAUUCUUCAGGGCACGGGCCAAAUCUGGCUGCUGCCUGUUUUUGUAAAUAAAGUUCUAUUGGAACACAGCCA